UACGUAGGGUGCAAGCGUUAAUCGGAAUUACUGGGCGUAAAGCGUGCGCAGGCGGUUGUGCAAGACAGAUGUGAAAUCCCCGGGCUCAACCUGGGAAUUGCAUUUGUGACUGCAUAGCUAGAGUACGGUAGAGGGGGAUGGAAUUCCGCGUGUAGCCGUGAAAUGCGUAGAUAUGCAGAGGAACACCGAUGGCGAAGGCAAUCCCCUGGACCUGUACUGACGCUCAUGCACGAAAGCGUGGGGAGCAAACAGG
rnacentral:rRNA from 1 species